GUAGUCUCGCACAGAUGCAUAUCAAUAAGCGGAGGAAAAGAAACUAACAAGGAUUCCCCUAGUAACGGCGAGUGAAGCGGGGAAGAGCUCAAAUUUGAAAUCUUAAAGGGUUUCCCUUUACGAAUUGUAGUUUAAAGAAGUGUUUUCUGUUGAGGUUUUGGUAAAAGUUCUUUGGAAUAGGACAUCAUAGAGGGUGAGAAUCCCGUAUUUGACCUUUACUUUCAACUUUGUGAUACACUUUCAAAGAGUCGGAUUGUUUGGGAAUGCAGUCCAAAAUGGGUGGUAAAUUUCAUCUAAAGCUAAAUAUUGGCGAGAGACCGAUAGCGAACAAGUACCGUGAGGGAAAGAUGAAAAGAACUUUGAAAAGAGAGUUAAACAGUACGUGAAAUCGUCAAAAGGGAAGCGUUUGACACCAGUGUUGUUUUUCUGAAAAUCAAUUAAAGAACUGUUUAUGCUAAGCUGUUUAGACUUUAUCAGCUAAUCUGUUUAGUUUUGAGCUUUUCUUUAAUGCACUUUUCAGUUAACAAGUCAACAUCAAUUUCUUUUGCUGUAAAAAAGCUUGAGGAAGGUGGCUUGAGAUUCGUCUUAAGUGUUUAUAGCCUCUUGCCUAUGCAGUCGGAGAGAUUGAGGUCUGCAGCGUAGAUCCUUCGGGGCUAAAUGCAUUUGUGCUAAGUUAUAGCAUUUUAUAGACAACUUGUUGACUAUGAUUUGUCUUGUAGCUUACUCGCUUAUGUUAUUUUACCUACGCUUAGGAUGUUGACAGCAGUAUAGACUGU
rnacentral:rRNA from 1 species